rnacentral:rRNA from 1 species
AAGUACAUACCUUAGCUCGGUGAAACCGCGAAUGGCUCAUUAAAUCAGUUAUGGUUCCUUAGAUCGUUCAUACUACAUGGAUAACGGUGGUAAUUCUAGAGCUAAUACAUGCAAAAAGCUCCGACCGUAUGGGAAGAGCGCUUUUAUUAGACCAAAACCAAUGGGGUCGCAAGACUCCUUUGUAUGGUGACUCUGGAUAACUUUGUGCUGAUCGCAUGGCCUAGAGCCGGCGACGUAUCUUUCAAGUGUCUGCCCUAUCAACUUUCGAUGGUAAGCGAUUUGCCUACCAUGGUUGUAACGGGUAACGGGGAAUCAGGGUUCGAUUCCGGAGAGGGAGCAUGAGAAAUGGCUACCACAUCUACGGAAGGCAGCAGGCGCGCAAAUUACCCACUCCUAGAACGGGGAGGUAGUGACGAAAAAUAACAAUACCGGACUCAAUGAGGCUCGGUAAUUGAAAUGAGUACAGUUUAAAACCCUUAACGAGGAUCUAUUGGAGGGCAAGUCUGGUGCCAGCAGCCGCGGUAAUUCCAGCUCCAAUAGCGUAUAUUAAAGUUGUUGCAGUUAAAAAGCUCGUAGUUGGAUCUCGGGUACUAGCAUGUGGUACGCUUAAUUGCUGUUACUACAUGUCUGGUCCUAAUCAACCGGUUGGCCGUUGAUGUCCUUUAUUGGGUGUUUUCGGUAGCCGGUACGUUUACUUUGAGAAAAUUAGAGUGCUUAAAGCAGGCCUUACGCCUGAAUAAUGUUGCAUGGAAUAAUAGAAUAGGACCUCGGUUCUAUUUUGUUGGUUUUGUAGAGCAUUGAGGUAAUGAUUAAUAGGGACAGACGGGGGCAUUCGUAUUGCGGUGUUAGAGGUGAAAUUCUUGGAUCGCCGCAAGACGAACAACUGCGAAAGCAUUUGCCAAGGAUGUUUUCAUUAAUCAAGAACGAAAGUUGGAGGUUCGAAGACGAUUAGAUACCGUCCUAGUUCCAACCAUAAACGAUGCCAACUAGCGAUUAGCUGCUGUUAAUUUAACGACACAGCUAGCAGCUUCCGGGAAACCAAAGUUUUUGGGUUCCGGGGGAAGUAUGGUUGCAAAGCUGAAACUUAAAGGAAUUGACGGAAGGGCACCACCAGGAGUGGAGCCUGCGGCUUAGUUUGACCCAACACGGGAAAUCUCACCCGGCCCGGACACUGUAAGGAUUGACAGAUUGAGAGCUCUUUCUUGAUUCGGUGGGUGGUGGUGCAUGGCCGUUCUUAGUUGGUGGAGCGAUUUGUCUGGUUAAUUCCGAUAACGAACGAGACUCUAGCCUGCUAAAUAGUACGCCGAUC